rnacentral:rRNA from 1 species
GAUUGAACGCUGGCGGCAGGCCUAACACAUGCAAGUCGAGCGGUAGCACAGAGAGCUUGCUCUCGGGUGACGAGCGGCGGACGGGUGAGUAAUGUCUGGGAAACUGCCUGAUGGAGGGGGAUAACUACUGGAAACGGUAGCUAAUACCGCAUAACGUCGCAAGACCAAAGUGGGGGACCUUCGGGCCUCAUGCCAUCAGAUGUGCCCAGAUGGGAUUAGCUAGUAGGUGGGGUAACGGCUCACCUAGGCGACGAUCCCUAGCUGGUCUGAGAGGAUGACCAGCCACACUGGAACUGAGACACGGUCCAGACUCCUACGGGAGGCAGCAGUGGGGAAUAUUGCACAAUGGGCGCAAGCCUGAUGCAGCCAUGCCGCGUGUGUGAAGAAGGCCUUCGGGUUGUAAAGCACUUUCAGCGGGGAGGAAGGCGUUAAGGUUAAUAACCUUGGCGAUUGACGUUACCCGCAGAAGAAGCACCGGCUAACUCCGUGCCAGCAGCCGCGGUAAUACGGAGGGUGCAAGCGUUAAUCGGAAUUACUGGGCGUAAAGCGCACGCAGGCGGUCUGUCAAGUCGGAUGUGAAAUCCCCGGGCUCAACCUGGGAACUGCAUUCGAAACUGGCAGGCUAGAGUCUUGUAGAGGGGGGUAGAAUUCCAGGUGUAGCGGUGAAAUGCGUAGAGAUCUGGAGGAAUACCGGUGGCGAAGGCGGCCCCCUGGACAAAGACUGACGCUCAGGUGCGAAAGCGUGGGGGGCAAACAGGAUUAGAUACCCUGGUAGUCCACGCCGUAAACGAUGUCGAUUUGGAGGUUGUGCCCUUGAGGCGUGGCUUCCGGAGCUAACGCGUUAAAUCGACCGCCUGGGGAGUACGGCCGCAAGGUUAAAACUCAAAUGAAUUGACGGGGGCCCGCACAAGCGGUGGAGCAUGUGGUUUAAUUCGAUGCAACGCGAAGAACCUUACCUGGUCUUGACAUCCACAGAACUUUCCAGAGAUGGAUUGGUGCCUUCGGGAACUGUGAGACAGGUGCUGCAUGGCUGUCGUCAGCUCGUGUUGUGAAAUGUUGGGUUAAGUCCCGCAACGAGCGCAACCCUUAUCCUUUGUUGCCAGCGGUCCGGCCGGGAACUCAAAGGAGACUGCCAGUGAUAAACUGGAGGAAGGUGGGGAUGACGUCAAGUCAUCAUGGCCCUUACGACCAGGGCUACACACGUGCUACAAUGGCAUAUACAAAGAGAAGCGACCUCGCGAGAGCAAGCGGACCUCAUAAAGUAUGUCGUAGUCCGGAUUGGAGUCUGCAACUCGACUCCAUGAAGUCGGAAUCGCUAGUAAUCGUAGAUCAGAAUGCUACGGUGAAUACGUUCCCGGGCCUUGUACACACCGCCCGUCACACCAUGGGAGUGGGUUGCAAAAGAAGUAGGUAGCUUAACCUUCGGGAGGGCGCUUACCAC